AUUUGUUUAUAAUUAAGAUUAUUUGUAGGGCCCGGAAUUUUGCCACUGUUCCAAUGACUGUUUACAUGUUUAACCUUAAAUUUGAACAAUUGAAAAUAGGCC